GCGACCGCGACCAGGGGAAAAAGAAGGGGAGAAACCCUACUUCAUCAAUUGAACUCCAAAUUCAGCAAAUUAGUAGUGAUUCUUGGCACAAUUCGAAUGCAUGUGUUUAAAUACUCUAUAAUCCAAGUGUCUUGAACUUAAGGAGUGAAAGAAGAAGGAGCUAAUUCCGGUUCGCAACAAAAGGCUCAAGAACGAGGUAAAUCUCAAGCUUAAAUGCUAUUGCCUCGCUCGGAACCGAACACACCUUGAACGCCUUUAUGCGUUUCCGCAAUUUUUGAAGUAUCAUCAAUGGGUCAAUACUUUUGUUAAAUUAGGCUAAGUUUGAUAGUUAAAGUCUAAACUUGAAGUUGUAAAUCUUUUGUCAAAAUACUAGUUGUAAUGGUUGUUUGAAAGGUCUUUAAAAUUUUAUGAGUUUUAUUAUGUCCUUUGAAAUGCGUCGUAGGUUUAAUUGUUGAAUGUCAUUAAAACAGGGAAUUGUUUAUAUUACGAACGGGUCAUGCCCGAAUUUUGUUAAAUAAUAGUAUGAAUUAAUACAUUUUCAGAUUUAGAAUUUUGGGUGUUUCAU